GAACCCAUCAUUUUCUCCAUCUUUUCAGGAGCUAUAAAAUGAUAUUUUCAGCAUUCUGUAAAAGAUACAUCUCAUCUCUUCUCCAAGCAUCUCCUGAACAUGGCUAAGCAGUGAAAAACAUCUAUGGGACAAUCCUGCAAUCAUCUGUCUCUAAUAUAAUGUAAGACAUCUACUGCUGAAACUUGCUAUGGCAACAGAAGGCCAGACUGUCAAGGGAACUUCCUAACUUUCCCAUCUGUGAGCUCUUCGGCUGGAGUCUUAUAUGUGGCCCUUGAAGCAAGAAUAAAGGGGGAUAAAUACCUGCUCCAAAGACCAGAAGCCUCCAAGCAUCCCGGCCCUGCUCCAACAUCUCUGCAGACCAUUCAGCCCUCACCUCCAGACAAAAGCAAGAAGGUUUCACAGAAGAAAGAGGGUGAACCAUCCAGGUACCCCUAUCUCAGGACCCUGACAGAUGUAACUGGAAUUAUGCGGCACUCUGUGGCUUCCCUUAGGGAAAGCCUCCCGGUUAUUGUUUUUCUUCUGUGUCAUCUUCUGAAUCCCAGUAAGAAUUAAUUUAAGCGUUUAUCUGGUCUAGGCCUGAGCACCUAGGGAAAGUACAGUCUUUCUGGAGUCCUUCUAUCUCCAUCUCUUCACAGAGAACCUGCUUCUAGUAAGGUCAAAAUGCUAAGUAGAAGUGUCUCCCUCGGCACCUACACUGCACAAGGGAAGGCACUAACAAAAUAAAGGAUUAAAGCAACCUAGGUUCCUUUCAAGACCACACACACUUAGGUCAUUUUUGACCAACGUGCCAUUAGAAAAAUCCCACCUCUUCCAGGAAGCCUUCCAGGGUAAUUCAGAGAAGAGCCAAAAGCUCGAUUUUGUUUUAUCCAGCUGGAGCACUCACAGGUAACCACACCCUUGUCCCAUCGCCUUUAUGGUUACUACACAUAGAGGCACUCCGUAACCACUUGAUGAAUAAAUGAAUGAAUUCUUAAGAAGUAUAUUUACCUCUUACAAUGUAGCAGGUGCAUUUUGGGGAGAUACACACUCAAAGCAGACAUGGCCCCUGGCCUCGUGGAACUUAAUCCAAUAACUGAUGUGGAUACACCAUCAAUGUCCCAAGGUUCAUUCAUUCCUCCACUCCAGAUUGGUGUCCAUAUGCUCCCACCCAUCAAGCACGUUUGUAAAGUGUCUACUCUGUGCCCCGGAGGUAGAGACCCAGAGAUGAAAGACCUGGUUCCUGCAGCUGAAGGAUUUCGCAAACUAUGGAAGGCAGCUGAAUGGCCUGGAGGGGGAUGGAGUGAAUAGAAAACACCACAUCUAUUUACAUCUCCGGGUGAUAAGUACAAGGGUAAGGAUCUGCGGUGGUUCUGAGGGGGGAUAAGGAUCUGGAACGCUGAGAAGCAGUGAAACAUCUGAACGGAGCCCUGGCUUCCAGGCCCAGGCAGGCCACUUGCUUAUAACCUGAAAACAAAACAGAAUGCAUGUCCUCGUCUCCCUGGAGGGUCAAGAUGAUGUUGAGAUAAUGUGGGUUCCUCUGCAAAGGACAAUACGAAUGUUAACAAAGGAAUUUUCUUAAAGACAGGGCCAUUUCUGUCCUUAUCGAUAAAAUCAGGCUGGCUUCUUUGGAUAAGAUAUGGAUUUUUUUCCAGUCCCCUUUGCACUUCAGAGCAGUUUCUUUGCCUAGCACCUUGAUUUCUUUUUCUAGUAAGGACAGGCUAACCUCCACUAGGCCUCCUCUGCCCUGUGUUCUGGAGCCUGGACCCUAAGCCAGAGCCUAGUGGAGGCCCAUGGCCCCCAGCAGGGGCCAGAAGUCGCUUCUAAGCUGUUAACUUCAAGACUCAGGGGCACCUGGGUGGUUCAGUGGUUGAGUGGCUGCCUUUGACUCAGGUUGUGAUCCUGUGGUCCUGGGAUCAAGCCUUGCACCGGGAUCCCUUCAAGGAGCUUGUGUCUCUGCCUCUCUCUCUCUGUGUCUCUCAUGAAUAAAUAAAUAAAAUCUUUAAAACAAAAAACAAACGUCAGCACUCAGCUACUCAGAGAAGAAUAGCUUGUCCCUGGAAUGGAAUUCUGCUCACGCCAAGCCCUAGCUGGGAGGGGACACAGGGCUGGAGAACUUCCAAAUCCGACUGCAAGGCUUUGGGAAUGUUGCAUUUGGUCCAGCAAGGGAAUUGUAACCAGAAUGCAGUACAAUCAAAUAUGCUAGAAAACACUCCAACUUCUGUUGGCUGGGGAAUGCCUUUCUCAAGAAUAUAACAACUCUGGGGAAUUUUUAGAAACUUAAAAAAAAAAUAUAUCAUUCUGUCAUUUUUGCCUGGAGUACGAUAAAGUCAUGAUUUUUAGUUCAAUGUUUUUAUUUUUAGAUUAGCACCUGACUAAAUAUAAUAAUGCUAAUUCGAUACUCUAUGUAAUAACAUUCAUAAGAAGAAACAGAUGCCAAUUUCCCCAUUUAACAAGUGACGCAAGGCGUUAAAUUGAUUUAAAAUAACUGUCUAAAAAUAAUUUGUCGAUGAGUAGAUUUUGAAAUAACAUAUUGUGUUAUGUUGGGGAGCCGUAGGAAUAUUAAGACAGAUUGAAAUUUCACUACAUGCUGAAUAAUGGCAUCAAAAAAAUAGACAAACUAUUUUCUUUGCCUACUACGAGAAUUCAUUUUACUGUUUUGCUUCUAAAUGGCAAGAAAAGAGGAGGUUUUAGCUGGCUAUUUGCAAGCAUGUCUCAGAAAAUAACGCCCAUGGACAUGGAGAGCAUUUUCAUCCAGUGAAAAGUCAAAUUAGAUGCAUAGUCACUAUCGAUAUUUAACAUUCUUUUUCAAGGUAUUAGAGAAUCUUGGUUGCUGUGGAAGAAUUUUAAUCAAAUGAAAACAACAAGGAGCCGAGUAAAAAGCAUCCUCAGGCUAAUUUGCAGAAUUAUUCUCAUUUACAUGCCGACAUUUACUUAUGGCAUAUUAACACGAAUGUUCCAGAAAUAUUUUCUAUUUAAGCCAUUCUUCAUUGUGAAAUUAAAUAAAUGCUAUAUGAUCACGUAUAAAACAAAUCAUAAAUUUCAUGUCAAUGUGUGGGGCUUGAUUUGAUCCUCAGAGAAACAAAAGUGCCAAAAUCACUUGUUGGGAAUAGCUAGCGAAAUUUGAAUACGGACCAGAUAUUAGAUGAUAUUAAGGAAUUACUGUUAAUUUUGUUGGGAAUGGCAAUAUUGUACUCGAGUUACACAGGAAACUUUCCUUAUUCCUUUGCAGGGCAUACUGAAG